UGGCCAAAUUGUGCUGAAACACUGGCUCUUGUAUGAUCACAAAAGUUAAGCAACAUUGAGCCUGGUCACUACCUAGAUGGGUGACUACUUGGGAAUAUCAGGGGCUAU